CUACGCUAUAGAAGAGGUUCAAGGUUUUUCUGUCCUGCAGUCAGCCUGGUGACUGUCUGGCUCCAGUCUCUUCUUAAGUGGAACAUGCAAAGCACCUGCAGAGUCCUGGGCUGCCUUUGCUGCAGGGCAGGGUCCAGGAGGGCUUAGAGAGGAAGAGGCAGCUGGAGAAGUGUCAUCACUGGGGAGCCAGAAGGUUGCAGGGCCAGAGUGCAGGGAGGAGGGUGAGGAGAACUUUGGACAAGGGGAGCCCUGGCCAAGCUGAGCUGAGAUCCUGGGGUGUCCCAUGUGGGAGCAGCAGGCCAGCAGAGCCAGGGCAGGGGGAGGACAAGCUGACAGCCCCGCUGGUCACUCCAAAGUCCCAGCAGCAGCCUGUGAGACACUCAGAGAGAAAAGCCAGGGCUGGCCCCUCAGAACCACAUCACCUUUAGUUCAACACAGCAUUUCCUGCCCAACAAAUGGUCGGUUACUGCAGCACACAGAGUGAGGGACACCCAGGAGGGCAGCAAGAGCUUCAAGCUGUGCUCCUGGUGCCCCACCUCUCCCCCUGAGUGCUGUCACAGGCAGAGGGAGGGACCAGCAGGGCCUGGGCCUGAGAGCAGUGCCAGAGGCCCAGGCAGGGCAGGUGUGGGCAGAGCUGUUGUGCAGGCGCAGAGAAGCUGCAGAGAGGCCACGGAGAGCGGGCCUGGCCAUGUGGAGUGCCCUGUGCGUGGGCUUCUUGCCCAUUGUAGCAGUCACUGGCCAGGUGACCUUGGAGCAGAACCCCAAGGGAGUGACCGUGCGAGAGGGAGAUGAAUUCACCUUUGAGUGCAGCAUGAAGGGAGGUGAUAUGGACGACUACUACAUGUACUGGUACCGUCAGGACCGAUGGGGCUCUUUGGAAUGGAUUUACGUAGAUGGUGAAGAUUCCUAUGGAGAAGGUUUCCAAGAUCACUUUCAGGGAAGUUCGGACAGUUCCCGGACGACACUGCAGCUUCUGGCAGCAACCCCAGAUGACGCAGCAACGUAUUACUGUGGAGCAAGAAUCACCCUGGAGCAGCUCUGCAGCAGAGUGAACCAAAAACCAGCAUAUGGGGAAGACAGAUCUGUCAGCAUUUCUUUCUGGCAGCUGCUCCGCAGGGCUCUUGUCAGGCAAUGGCAGGUGCAGGAAACCUCCCUCUGGCUGGGUGGCACUAAAAGGCACUGGAGGGAGGGCUGCUGGAAGGGCUGGUGCCAUUGAUGGUGCAGG